AACAAUGACCGACGAAAGCAAAACUAAUUCGAAAUCAUGGAUGAUUUAUACAUUGCAAAUGGAACUCCUAAUGGCAAUAAGUACGUUUUCAAUCCUUAUGGUCUUUUUGAGAUGUAUUCACAACAACGGUAGUGGAUCCAGUGUGGCUGGAAUGUAAUUCAGUAUUUAGGUGAAGGAAAUGAAACAGAGGCAACAAAACUGGAUGAAGCAAAGAGCGGAAAUCCAGAACAGUUCAUCAUCCCCAAAUGCUGUAACAUCAAUAACGGAUAUGCGAGGUGACCAGGUUUCGGACAGUGGUUAACUCCUGCUUGUGUAUGCGAUUGGCC